UACGUAGGGGGCAAGCGUUGUCCGGAAUCAUUGGGCGGUAAAGCGCGCGUAGGCGGCCCGGUAAGUCCGUUGUGAAAGUCAAAGGCUCAACCUUUGAACGCCGAUGGAUACUGCCGGGCUAGAGUCCGGAAGAGGCGGAGUGGAAUUCCUGGUGUAGCGGUGGAAUGCGCAGAUAUCAGGAGGAACACCAAUAGCGAAGGCAGCUCGCUGGGACGGUACUGACGCUGAGGCGCGAAAGCGUGGGGAGCGAACAGG
rnacentral:rRNA from 1 species